rnacentral:lncRNA from 1 species
GUAUGGAGAGUGUUGCCUUGUGCUUUUACCACAAAUUGAAUUUCUUCUGAGAUGUGCUUUUUGUGCUGUAAACAAUCUUCCGUCACGGUUACUUACUGCUGAAGCAGAGACCUUGUACACAACCCUUGAUCAAAUUUUGAUUCAAAAAUUGACAGGUAAGAAUUGUUAAGUACUUACGUAAGCUCUUAUUUUACUGGGAUUGAAAUUGACUCUUCUUGGUGGAUUGCUAAACUCGUAAACUACUUCCUAGUCGCGAUGUUGUACAUGAGAAAAAUCCUACAGAAUAAGUCUCCCAAACAGAUGUGAAAGUUAAGACUACAAAUAAUUUUCUUAUUCUCAUUAAAAAAGAAACUAUCUUACAUUAAAAACUUUCUGUGAAAGUACCUCUCAGAUUUUGGCUCUUGAAUUGCGGCUAAAUUAUUUACAAUUUUAGAGAAAAAGAAAGAGAUAGCCUGAUGAAUCAGUCUCCUCGAACAUGAAAUAGAUAGCCUAAUAUAUCAAUCUCCUUAGAGAAUUGAGUUUCUGCUUUUAAAGAUCUAGUUUCCAGAAUAUGUUGAGGUUCAAGGUUCUACCUAAGUGUUAAGAAUGUGAACGAGAGUUCAAUCAAUGUAUUCGAUUGUUGAAAGCCAGGUGGCAUCAAAUUCCACCAACACCUUUCUAAAUUUGUCUUUGUUUCCUUCUAGAGCCAGAUACUGAAGAAAACAAACUCUAUUCAGUUUUAUCAGCAGAUGUGAUAACAAUGCUGAACGAUCUCCUCACCUUUCCUAACGGACCUCGCUUAAGGGAUAAACUGAGUCAUGGUGAAGUUAGAGUUGUGGACAUAUCCAACCACUUAUGUCAUCAUUUCAUCAACGUUUUAGUGCAUGUCUUUAUGAAACUUCAAGACUUCUCAUCUCAAGACAUCCUUCAGAUCUGCUCCGUACAACACUCCAAUUCUGUUGACCAAGGAUUAUAUUAUCCAAAAUUUCACCUAAUUUCAGUUGUUAAGCGAUCAAUAGACAAAUCCGUUUCAACAAUCAAGAGCUGGGAGUCCUCUCUUUCGCCAAAAGAACUGAAUGUUGAGUGUCUUUCUUUUGGAGUGGAACAAAAUUUAAACUCCUAUUUGCUAGCUGUGGAAAGGAAUAGAUACUCUGAAGAAACUGUACAGCCAUCUUUUCAACUGCUUGAUGACUUUCUGAAAUCAAGAGUAUUGUCGCACCAUUGCAGUAUUUUGAAGAAAUUCGAGUCUUUAAAGUACCUGAUGCAGAUUGCAGAUAAUUUGUUGGGAAUACAACUGAAUGUGCAAGAAAGUUUGGAAGAGAAACAUGCUGCCCUCAGGGAAUUUGAGUUGCGUGAAAGAGGACGCAAAACAUUUGAAAAGAUUCUUCAAAUUUUACCUGUUUUGCGGCAGUGUCUUUUCUCAAUUUUAUAUUUGAUCAUUUGCAACUUUAUCACUGCAGUUCUUGGUCAGGACACCCUGAGUCCUCUCAGGUGA